rnacentral:rRNA from 1 species
CGUAGGGUGCGAGCGUUAAUCAGAAUUACUGGGCGUAAAGCGUGCGCAGGCGGUUAUAUAAGACAGAUGUGAAAUCCCCGGGCUCAACCUGGGAACUGCAUUUGUGACUGUAUAGCUAGAGUACGGCAGAGGGGGAUGGAAUUCCGCGUGUAGGCAGUGAAAUGCGUAGAUAUGCGGAGGAACACCGAUGGCGAAGGCAAUCCCCUGGGCCUGUACUGACGCUCAUGCACGAAAGCGUGGGGAGCAAACAGGAUUAGAUACCCUGGUAGUCCACGCCCUAAACGAUGUCAACUGGUUGUUGGGUCUUCACUGACUCAGUAACGAAGCUAACGCGUGAAGUUGACCGCCUGGGAGUACGGCGCAAGGUUG